AAGACCUUGCGCUUUUGGAGCGGCCGAUGCCUGAUUGGCUAGUUGGUGGGGUAAUGGCCUACCAAAGCUUCGAUCAGUAGCUGGUCUGAGAGGACGGCCAGCCACACUGGGACUGAGACACGGCCCAGACUCCUACGGGAGGCAGCAGUGGGGAAUUUUGGACAAUGGGCGCAAGCCUGAUCCAGCCAUGCCGCGUGAGUGAAGAAGGCCUUCGGGUUGUAAAGCUCUUUCAGCCGGGAAGAAAAGGUUGCGAUUAAUAAUCGCAAUUUAUGACGGUACCGGAAGAAGAAGCACCGGCUAACUACGUGCCAGCAGCCGCGGUAAUACGUAGGGUGCGAGCGUUAAUCGGAAUUACUGGGCGUAAAGGGUGCGCAGGCGGUUUUGUAAGUCAGAUGUGAAAUCCCCGGGCUUAACCUGGGAACU
rnacentral:rRNA from 1 species